rnacentral:rRNA from 1 species
AACGAACGCUGGCGGCAGGCCUAACACAUGCAAGUCGAGCGAGGACUUCGUUCCUAGCGGCGGACGUGUGAUUACCGCGUGGGAACUUGCCCUUUGCUUCCGAAUCGCCCUGGUAAACUGGGCUUAAUACCGGUUGAGCCCUUUGGGGGAAAGAUUUCUCGGGGAAGGAUCGGCCCGGGUUGGUUUGGGUGGUUGGUGGGGUAAUGGCCUACCAACCCUCGGUUCCUUAGCUGGUUUGAGAGGAUGUACAGCCACAAUGGCAAUGAGGCACGGCCCACAAUCGUAAGGGAGGGAGGAGGGGGGAAACUUAGAGAAUGGGGGAAAACGUGAUCUAGCCAUGCCGGGGGAGAGAGGAAGGCCGUAGGGUUGUAAAGCUCUUUGAGAUGGGAAGAUAAUGACGGUACCAGGAGAAGAAGCCCCGGCUAACUCCGUG